AACGAACGCUGGCGGCAUGCCUAACACAUGCAAGUCGAACGAGACCUUCGGGUCUAGUGGCGCACGAGUGCGUAACGCGUGGGAACCUGCCCUUAGGUUCGGAAUAACUCCCCGACAGGGGUGCUAAUACCGAAUAAUGUCUUCGGACCAAAGAUUUAUCGCCUUUGGAUGGUCCCGCGUUGGAUUAGCUAGUUGGUAGGGUAAAAGCCUACCAAGGCGACGAUCCAUAGCUGGUCUGAGAGGAUGAUCAGCCACACUGGGACUGAGACACGGCCCAGACUCCUACGGGAGGCAGCAGUGGGGAAUAGUGGACAAUGGGCGAAAGCCUGAUCCAGCAAUGCCGCGUGAGUGAUGAAGGCCUUAGGGUUGUAAAGCUCUUUUACCCGGGAUGAUAAUGACAGUACCGGGAGAAUAAGCUCCGGCUAACUCCGUG
rnacentral:rRNA from 1 species